UACGAAGGGGGGCUAGCGUUGCUCGGAUUGACUGGGCGUAAAGGGCGCGUAGGCGGUUCGUACAGUCAGACGUGAAAUUCCUGGGCUCAACCUGGGGGCUGCGUUUGAUACGUGCGGACUUGAGUGCGGAAGAGGGUCGUGGAAUUCCCAGUGUAGAGGUGAAAUUCGUAGAUAUUGGGAAGAACACCGGUGGCGAAGGCGGCGACCUGGUCCGUGACUGACGCUGAGGCGCGAAAGCGUGGGGAGCAAACAGG
rnacentral:rRNA from 1 species